UGGUGGAGUGAUUUGUCUGGUUAAUUCCGUUAACGAACGAGACCUCAGCCUACUAAAUAGUUGCACAUAGUCUUCUGAUUAUGCGUUCAACUUCUUAGAGGGACUGUUGGCGUUAUAGCCAAAGGAAGUUUGAGGCAAUAACA
rnacentral:rRNA from 1 species